AUGAGCUCGGUGGCGGGUGUCGUCGCGCCGGCGCCGGCCCGAGCCGCCGCCCCCUCCUCGAAGCUCCCCAAUGCGGCGCGGCCAAAGAAGGGCAAGACAUUGGCGAAGAAGAACAAGGCGGCGGACGGCUCCGGCACCUCGAAGGCGAGGAGGAAGAAGCUUGUAGGGCGUGCGACGGGCGCGGCGGCUACCGAAGCGCCGACAAGCUCACUCGUUGAUCCGGUAACAUGUUCGACCAAAUGCCCCCAAGGUAAAAAAAAUUCCAACUUUUCUUUUUUGUUAUUUUUUCAAUGCAUUCAUAUAGAUAGCUUAUUUGCAUUGUUCAAAAAACUUUGUAGUCUCAAUGAUGAUGCAUACAUGUCAGCUAUGGGUGUAGGCUCCAACAAUUCGCAUUGGUCUCAAACCAGUGACAUGCAUUCCGAAGACCAUGAGUUCGAGGUGGACGAGGAGGGUGAGGGCAUUUUCGACGCACCGAAAGAAAGAGCGGGCAAUUACACCAACGCUGAUGACAUCUUACUAUGCAAUACUUGGUUGCAAGUGUCGAGGGAUCCAUCCGUUGGAGGUGAUCAAAGUAGAGAUGCUUAUUGGGGGCAGAUGAAAGAACACUUUGAUGUUCAUAACGUGAGUGGAAUUGACCGCUCCGAGAGAUCACUUCGGUCCCGAUGGUCGACAAUCAACUCGGAUUGUCAAAGGUGGGCGGCUUGUCAAAAGGCGGUUGACAAGUUGAACCCAAGUGGCACAAAUGAGGACGAUAGAGUAAGUGGCAUUUCAUACAUGUUCAUCACACAUGUUCAUCAUACUUGUUGUUGGUGCUAA
rnacentral:rRNA from 1 species